CACUCGCGCAGCCGCCUCCGCUCUCCAACCCUCUCCCCGAUCUCUCCCUUCCCUCGUACCUCGCCGCCCCAUCCACAUCGCGCCGCCGCCGCCCCUCAAACCUCGCCGCCGCGGACCUCUCUCACGCCCACGUUCUUCCUCCCGCGCUCCUACCCCUUCUUCCCCAGCCGCCGCCGCCGCCCCCAUCCCCCCCGUCACGCCGUCGCGGGUCUCCUCGCGCAAGCGCACGACCUCGCCAUCCCUGGGACGAUCUGGGCCGGCGCGCUUCUGGACGAUCUGGGGCGUCGAGCUUGGCCCUCGCCAUCCCUGGGAGGGCGUUGGUGAGCGCCAAGCCGUCAUCCUCGUGUCGACCUGCCCCUCCCGGUGCGCUUGGUAGCCCGACGACUCGACCGUGGUGUCCACGUUGGCACGCGGUGGGCUCAAGUGGCCCUUCCCGCCGCCGUCGCCGGCAAGCUCAUCCGCGCGCUCAUGGCGCGGCAGCACGGCUCCGUCAAGCCCAAUGAGGCAUCCAUCCCCGAGGGCAGCGAGCCGAACCUGGGCGGAGCCGCCGCCAGGGGGCGUACCGGCGAGGGGCUGCGUCCACCUUGCCGUCGAGUGCCUCCUCCCCUCCGGCCGCCCCGAUUCCCUCUUCAUCCUCCAGCUCCAGCCCAACCCCGACACCCCGGACGUCAAGCGGGCCUUCCGUCACCUCGCCAACCUCCUGGCCCCUCGGCGCGAUCCCCAUCCCCGGCUGACACCGCCCUUCGCGCCGUUGAAGAGGCCUUCGCCCACCUCUUCGAGAGCGCCUCCACCAGCGCCGGUUUCGCUCCUGCUGCUCCCGGCGGCGUCUCCGUCCUAGAGAUGUGCUCUGGACGGUCUGCCCCCACUGCUGCCAUGUGCACGAGUACGAGCGCAUGCUGGUGGGGCGUUUGCUUGGGUGCUCGAACCCCUGGUUCAUGUGCGUGUUCGUGGCUACCUAGCCCGUGCGUCUGCCCUCUCCCUGCUCGCCGGUCGCCGCCGCUCGGGUUGUUCGCAGGCUAAGCCACGGAUUGUGUACGAAAUAUUCACAGCAAAGCAACGAAAAAAGUCUCUCUACCUGGGUUAAGAAAUUCAGAACUUUACAGUGAGCAGGAGAAUGUGGACCUUAUAAGGUCUAUACAUGCAAGAUUCAGGAAUUGGAAACGGAAGUAACAUGGCAGAAGUUCUCCACUGGGCUCAAGGGGAUGAAUCGGUUAACUACAGAGAGCUUCAACAUGGUGGCAACCUGGAAGUGAGAGGAAGUGGAAGGAUAUAAGGUAGCUUCUGCAGAAUCCAAUAUACUUGGAGUCCACAUCCAAGAUCAAAGCAUCUAGCUCUGUUCACUCAGGUUCUCAGGAGUAUCUCACAAAUGAGUCAUCAUAGGUGAGAGAUGUCUCAUCCAGCCGGACGAUAUUAUUGACCAUUUAAUAGCAGCUGACCAACAGUUUUAGUAAUUAGAGAAGAAGACAAUUCCACAGAAGCAAAGCCAGUGCAUUGGUUGGGAGCUAAAUUAGCAGGCAUGCUACCUAUACUAAAUACAUGUUGUGCUUCAUCUCCCUUCUGUCCUUCUAUGUAUUGAACUCAUUGGCAUAUGAUGUAACCUGUUAAUAUUCUUAAUGAAAUCACCCAUAAUGGGCAUUUUUCUUAAAUAAAAGAUUACAGUAUACCAUGACUAAGGCUUCAUACAGGAUUGUGUCUCCCUUGGUGUUAUUUGCAACAGCUGAGUAGCUCCGGAGAGUGUCAACAUAUGUGCCCAAACUCAGUAGAACAAGCACUAACGAUAGCAGAACUUGAAAAAUCGAGGAGAUGGCUGCUCUCACCAUAUAGUUCAAAGGUUCACUAUCCAAUGAUGCUAUUUAUGUUUAGGGUACUUAUUGUAUAACUGGUUAUAACAGAUAUGUUGUUUUAUGAUGACAUAUCUUUAGGAAAGAACAUAUUCAAAUAGAGAAAUUUUGCUGUGUUAGAUUUUUAUUAUUACCAAGUAUACGAGUUUGCUCUAUCUGGUUGUCUCAAAGUAUAACAGUUAUACGAGAAUAUGAUAAUCAAUUGCAUGUUUGUGAAGAACAGAGCCCUGUAGGUGUGGCAGUAUGGCCUCUUUCUAGAGACAUACUUGACUGCUUAUUAAGUUGUGGGUUGUUUUUUGACAGAUAUAUUUUCUCACUUUCUUACAACAACUUAGUCUCCAGUUAUUUUACAAGUCUGGUUCGCAAGUGUUGUUUCGUUCCAUCUCCAGUUUGAUUAUUGUUUUUUUUGGCGAGAAAAUUUCUGAUCUAUUCAUCAACUGUCAAGGCAGUACAAUUCCUAUUUUUAUUUUUUAAACAGGGUUCCUAGAUCAAAUUGUCUGGGCUGGGACAAGAAAAGGAACAUGCUCUUGACUGAGCGCGGGCCGCGGAGAUGGUGAGGAUGCCGAGCUGUCUGCGGCAUGGUCGUUGCUCCUCCGGACUUGGUAGGAGGAGUGAGGAGGUCGAUCCAUCCUCGGCUUCGUUGUCGUCGUGCGUCCGUCAAGAGAUGCUCGCGCGCCGGGAGACGAAUCCACAUCUGCUCCUGCUCGACUGCUUCCAAAUCGAGUGACGCAUGCUUCUGCUUGCUAUGGAGGCCGCUGCUCUGAUCCGCUCCAACUGCCAGCGAUGUUCCUCCUCAAGGUCAAGGCAGGCUGGGUGGGCUCCUCGUCGGCGUCGGCUUUCCCUGCCUGCCACUGCUUUCUGAUGGAGCGGACCUUUGGAUGCUCCUGUGCCUCUGGUGGUGGGCUAGGUUGGAACUGCUCUGUUGGAUCCUUACCUUUCUUUUGCAGCGACACUGAAUGGUUUGGCUGGUCCACAAUACAGUCUCAGGGAUGGAUGGUCAAGUUGUAUAUGGCUUCCACCAUGUACGAGAUGAAAAGCCAUAUCUUGCUCAAGGACCAGUUGCAAAUAAGGGUAGUUAAAGAGUGGAUGCCCAACUGCUCUGAUGUAGGCCGCUCCGAAUCAAUUAUCCGAUAUAUGGCAUCUCUUGAAGGAUUCUCAGUGGUCUCAUGCCUCUCUGUCAGGAUUCUCCCAGUUUGAAAGAGGGUGUGUGAGAACAUCUCCAUUGUCCUCUGCAGUAACAAGGUUUCUGUGAAGAACUGGCAGGUUAAAGCCAAGAGCAACUACAACUAGGAGAAGCCCUUCCUUUACCUUGCAAGGAAGCUGGCUGGCACAAAGCUGAGCAUGCGGCGCGGUUACUGCCUGAUGACCAUGACAAUCUGAUCGAGUAGAUCAAUCAUGAGUUCUAUCAUACUUUGAGCCAAAUCUUCGUGCUUUUUUCUUUUAUUUGGUUAUACUGUGUAAAUAGGAAUCAAUAAUAAAAGUAGAUGGUACAAAGUUAAUAUAUAUCUUCAUUUGUCCAUUGGUCUUGCGAAGCAAGUUAAUAUAUAUCUUCAUUGGUCUUGCGAAGCAAGUUAAUAUAUAUCUUCAUUUAUAUAGCAUCUCUGGUGUUCCAUUAUGUUCAGCUUGGUCCCUUAGUUACUUUCUCGGCCCUCUUGGCUGCCACCGAAUGGAUUUUUAUAUUUUUGUAUAUCUUGCUCAGUGUCCUAUGCUCCAUAUACGCUUUUCUAUAUAUUAAAACAGUUGCAUGAAAGUGAUACAUAUAUGUGAUGAUCUCUGACUUGACCUGUGCUGGGAUUACUCCUGCAGCAGUCAGUAUCCAGUACAACGGGUUCUGGGACGUGGGGUGGAGUAGCUACGACGGGGAGGAGCCCUGCGAUGACCUCAAGCCUACUACCGCUACCACCAGCAUCAAGUCAGAAAAGGAAGACUGCUUUUUUAUGGGGAGAGGUUUAAUUGUUUCAACCAAGUCAAAGGCAAAAGGAAGGCACACAUCUGCUUCCCUCCUGGUGUUCACAUAUACUGUUGAUGUUGAAAUAAUUAUUGAAGACUGAACUAUAGAAAGAUGGGAUUAGAAUUAGGAGAUAUGUAAAUAUGUAAUUUCUCUCGAAGAUGGGCUCAGAAUUAGAAGAACCAUAUCUGUUGAUCUCUUUCACUAUCGUUAGGACCAACUUUUUUAUAUCAUGAUACAUUUUCCAUGUUCAAAUUCCUAAAGCACUGAAGAGAGGUUUCAAUUUCCUAAUAGUACAUGUUCAAAUUGUUGUUGUAUGUGACCUUAGAUAGAAGGAUGUGCACUUGUGAUUA